rnacentral:rRNA from 1 species
GGACGAACGCUGGCGGCGUGCUUAACACAUGCAAGUCGAACGGAAAGGCCCUGCUUUUGUGGGGUGCUCGAGUGGCGAACGGGUGAGUAACACGUGAGUAACCUGCCCUUGACUUUGGGAUAACUUCAGGAAACUGGGGCUAAUACCGGAUAGGAGCUCCUGCUGCAUGGUGGGGGUUGGAAAGUUUCGGCGGUUGGGGAUGGACUCGCGGCUUAUCAGCUUGUUGGUGGGGUAGUGGCUUACCAAGGCUUUGACGGGUAGCCGGCCUGAGAGGGUGACCGGCCACAUUGGGACUGAGGUACGGCCCAGACUCCUACGGGAGGCAGCAGUGGGGAAUAUUACACAAUGGGCGGAAGCCUGAUACAGCAACGCCGCGUGCGGGAUGACGGCCUUCGGGUUGUAAACCGCUUUCGCCUGUGACGAAGCGUGAGUGACGGUAAUGGGUAAAGAAGCACCGGCUAACUACGUG